GCCCAAGUGGCGGAAUGGUAGACGCAGCGGAUUCAAAAUCCGCCGGCUUAACGGCCGUGCCGGUUCGAAUCCGGCCUUGGGUA
rnacentral:tRNA from 1 species